GUGAUCCUACGGGGGGCAGCAGUAGGGAAUAUUGCUCAAUGGGGGAAACCCUGAAGCAGCAACGCCGCGUGGAGGAUGAAGGUUUUCGGAUUGUAAAUUCCUUUUGUUAGAGAAGAUAAUGACGGUAUCUAACGAAUAAGCACCGGCUAACUCCGUGCCAGCAGCGGAGGUAAUACGGAGGGUGCAAGCGUUACUCGGAAUCACUGGGCGUAAAGAGCGCGUAGGGGGGAU
rnacentral:rRNA from 1 species